AUCCCGAACACGGUCGUUAAGCCUGUCAGCGCCGAUGGUACUGCGACUGCGAGGUCGUGGGAGAGUAGGCCGCCGCCAGCG
rnacentral:rRNA from 1 species